CAGUAGCCGCGGUAAAACGAAGGGGGCUAGCGUUGUUCGGAUUAACUGGGCGUAAAGGGCGCGUAGGCGGGUUUUUAAGUCAGAGGUGAAAUCCCAAGGCUCAACCUUGGAACUGCCUUUGAUACUGGAAGUCUUGAGUCCGGGAGAGGUGAGUGGAACUGCGAGUGUAGAGGUGAAAUUCGUAGAUAUUCGCAAGAACACCAGUGGCGAAGGCGGCUCACUGGCCCGGUACUGACGCUGAGGCGCGAAAGCGUGGGGAGCAAACAGGAUUAGAUACCCCGGUAGUCCCUGUCUCUUAUAC
rnacentral:rRNA from 1 species